AUUGAUAGAGGUUGCGUCUUUCAAAAGUAGAUCGUCGGAUGCCUGCGGGGCAAAGGAGGGCGGAAGAAAGGGGAAGAUGCCGAAGGGGCAGGAUUCCGGCAGAUGCUGUUCCUGGGCAUGGGGUGAACAAGUCCAUGACUGUCAUCGGAAGAUGGAGAGCUAUCAG
rnacentral:ncRNA from 1 species